AUUUUUCCCUUACCAGUCGAGUGUUCCCAGAGGGAGGUCAAAGGCAACAGAACUGGACCAAGAAAAUUCAUAACUUUUUGGAAUUUGGAGAGGGGUUGACUUGGCUUGGCAGUUCAUCUUUGACCCAUGUGACUUUAGCUGGGGUGGCUAGGAUUGGAGGAUCUCUACUUUCAAGAUCACUUUUGCAUCCAUACGUCUGGAGCCUUGGCGUCUCUUGGAUUCCCAUUCUCUACUUGGCGUCUCAUUCUCCCGGACCUGUCCACAGGGCUCGGCUCUUUUCAGCACAGCAGUGUCAGGAGACCUGGACCUGGUGAAUGUCAGUCUGGCUUCUGCUAGAGCACAUGUUCCUCUUUCAGAUGUAAAAUCCCAUGAAGUGGUGCCUGUGAGGUCAUAGAAAUUGCAAUUAAACAUAUCUGUUAAAUUAAAAA